CGGGGUGUGGCUCAGUCCGGUUAGAGCACCUGCUUUGGGAGCAGGGGGUCGUGGGUUCGAAUCCCGCUACCCCGA
rnacentral:tRNA from 1 species